AGUUUAGAUAAUUGAUCAUCAGAAUGGCAGAAACCCCAUGUCAGCCCACGUGUCUCCGGGGACAGAGCUGGCUCUGUGGGCAUCUUCCAAGGCCUGCGUGCCCUGCCCCGUACCAGUGCACUCAGGAGCUGUGUCCAUGCAGAGCUAUGAGCACUGGUGACACUCAGCCCAUCCAUAUGUCUGUCCAGGUCAUGUGUCCGAUUCCUCAGCAGGAACCAUAACUGCAGACACCAACACUCCUCUGAACCUCACAGUCAUUCAUGUGGUAUCAGUUACUGUCACCCUCCUGCUGUCUGCAGCCACCUUCUGGACCAUUAGGAAAGGUGCCUGCCGGGAGAGAUGCCGAAGGCAGCAGCCCGUUCCCAGCCAGCAGGUGCAAGCCACCGACUACGGAGAAAUCCAGUACUCAACCAUUGCCCACUUUCGAAGGGACAAGCCUCCCGUGAAGCAGAUGACCCGCAGCAGAGAUGCAUAGGCUUCAGCAUGCCAAGGCAACCAGGACUGCGUCACGACCAUUGUGUUUUCUUGCAGAGGGCGCUUGGGGCAGAAGAUGGGGCUUUUGGGUUCAUGGGGUAUGCUCUCCCAUUAUUUCUAGCCUCUAAGAUAUAUGACUUGCUUAUGCAUGUACAACCUAGAAUAUCAAUAAAAUAUC